AAAUGAAUAGACGGGGGCCCGCACAAGCGGCGGAGCAUGUUGCUUAAUUCGAGGCAACGCGAAGAACCUUACCUGGGCUUGACAUGCUGGGAAAAGCCACAGAGAUGUGGUGUCCUUCGGGGCCCAGCACAGGUGGUGCAUGGCUGUCGUCAGCUCGUGUCGUGAGAUGUUGGGUUAAGUCCCGCAACGAGCGCAACCCUUGUCCUAUGUUGCCAGCGGGUAAUGCCGGGGACUCGUAGGAGACCGCCGGGGUCAACUCGGAGGAAGGUGGGGACGACGUCAAGUCAUCAUGCCCCUUAUGUCCAGGGCUGCAAACAUGCUACAAUGGCCGGUACAAAGGGCUGCUAUACCGUGAGGUUGAGCGAAUCCCAUAAAGCCGGUCUCAGUUCGGAUUGAAGUCUGCAACUCGACUUCAUGAAGCCGGAGUCGCUAGUAAUCCCGGAUCAGCAACGCCGGGGUGAAUACGUUCCCGGGCCUUGUACACACCGCCCGU
rnacentral:rRNA from 1 species